rnacentral:lncRNA from 1 species
GCGUUCACCUAUGAUGCAAUGACAGCUCCUCGAGAUUGCGGCUGAAUCGGCUCUUGCUCGGUGUAAGGGACUAUUCAUUGCGGGGUUUUAACGGAAAAAAACAACAUUAACCAUUUUUUCAGACACAUCAAAGCGGCCAUCUGGUUAAAUUCAAGGAGGCUGCCCCUUUUUUCCUGCACUUCCUUUACUGCUCUCAGCGGGUCCCCUUCAUUUUCUGUCCUCCUUUCGCCCUGCAGGUUCUCCUGCAGAGUGAGACUCUCACAAGAAUGUGUCUAAUUUAGUGACUAAGAGGCAGAUUUAUACCUGUGCUAGUUAUGAAGAAGGUUGCUCCCCUGAGAAGCCCAAUGACUGUUUACGGGCAGCCCAACAAUGCCUUAGCAGAUGAUAAAGCACCUGCCAUGUCUGUUCCAUCCCUUUAUGUCCGUCGGCUCGCCUCCCUUUCCUCUCACUUUCUCUCUCUCUCGUUGUCUUCCUCUGCUCAGCCCAUCACUUCUUCCUCUCUCUUUGUUAUUUUUCUCAGCGGAGGCGCAUCUCCCUCAGUUACCAUGGAGUCGCGCAUUUUACAACCACUGCUUUCCCCAGACAGCCUGUGGGAAGCAGGCAGAAACGCAGCCUGGACGUGUCAUCAGCCUGGGCAACACUGGGCAAUUCAGAGUUUCCAGUCAACCGUAAUGUGGAUGUUUUGGGACUGCGGGCAGAAAAGAAGAAGAAAACCAUAGACCCCUCCUCAGAGGCCUGACUCAGACUCCUGGCAGUGACGCCAUCCUGCUCACACCGUACCAAGUUGUAUUAAAGAUGGCUUUGCUCUCACUGCUAUUGGCCAGCAACCUCUACUGGUAUCAGGAUUUUGAAAGGUUUGCUUGUUUGGAACUCUCAAUGAUGAAACCCUGGAGGUUUGAGCAUCCCCGUCACUCCUUUAUGAGUUGCCACCGAUCGAACAUUGUUGGCAGGAAUUACUGUCACUUGUCCUGAUCUGUAUGCAUGGUAACCUUUUUCAUCUCGAAGAACGACAUGGCCCCCUGCGAAGUCUUUACAUUAUGGGCAAACAUUUGCAAUUAUGAUGAACUCUGCCAGCUUAUCUUAAAAGGAACAGGUUCUUACUGACAGACAAGGAGACGUUUUAAUGGAAUAAACUGCUUUGAGCUGAUGAAAUAAAGAUUGCUCCACCUCAGGGCACACUCAAAUUAAAUUAUCAAGAUGAGUUCACGCAUGCUGCUCCCAUUAACUCAGGUACGGUAAAGGCCUAAUCGCGCCGCAAUGGCUAUGUGUAGAAUUUAGCAAGAAAUUCCCGUACACAGAGGAGGAUGCUUGCAGUUGUUCGGAGUCCGACCUGUUUGACUGUCCCCGCUGAGCACUUAAGACAACUCGGAUUCUUUUUAAAUCCAAUCAGCAGGUCGGCCAUAAUGCUAAAACCACAUGUUGCCCUGAGAGUGAGUGGACACUGCGCAGCGUGCAGAUAAACACGGGCCUGGUGAUUGAUCAGGGGACCGUGGAAAGAGCCAGGAGAGCUUCGCCUGAAAAGGAAUGCCGGCGUUUAGGCGAGAGGGACGGCAAGUGGCAAUGGGAAACACCUGCGCUGGGGUGAACAGGCGGGCAGCGUGCGUGGGUAGGGGAAGGAGGAAUCGUACCACUGAGCUUAAGAGGAAGGAAGAGCCAAGAGGGAGGUAUAAAAGCAGUUGGAAGGUCUGCUGCAUCCUCGCCGUUUACUGCUGUGAAGUAGAGGACUAAAGGAAUUAGUUACAGUAGCGUCAGCUGUCUGCUAACUGUUAAUGCAGAUGUGGUGAUAGAAGGCUGCCCUGACACACACACACACACACACACACACACACACACACACACACACACAUACACACACACACACACACACGUAGUGCCACCGUAAUGUUUAGGUUAAAAUUCUUUUGGGGUGUUCAGUAAUGCUUAAUGUAAUAUACAUAUUUGGACAUGUUUCCAUUGAUCAUAUCAACCCAUGGUGACAACAACAGCAACAAAGAUCACCAUUUAUUCAUUUUAAAGUGUACUUAAUCAAAAUAAGAUCAUCGUGUUUUCACAGAAGCAGGUGGGAAACUGAAAACAAUGUUAACAAACAAACAGAGAUUUACUUCUCUCCUGAGAGAUUGGGAAGAAUCCCGCAUUGAUAAAAUUUAAACAACUUGUGUUGGAGUUUAGUUUCUUAGUAUCAAUAGGACAUUAUUUAUUCAUGUGUUUAUACUUACAGUUAUAUUUAAAGUCAAAUUGGGUAUGGGCGUCUAAUCCAUUGGUUUUUAGAUCUAACCAUGAAAACAGCCUCCGCACAUUACAAACAGGCACGAGUCCUCCGUGAAACAAAGACGCACACAAAGCAGCCCGUAUUUUUACAGCUGAACGCCGUAGCCUGCUGCACAUCCAUCAGCCGCUCCACCCUCAAGUCAGGUUGAUCAUUCCAUCUCCUGCCUCUCUAUCCUGAGGUGCCUGCUGUCAAUUUAUCAGACUCUUCCUUUUAAUUUCAGACUUUCCGCAGCGUAGGCAUCCAUCUCACGCUGUCCGCGGCGGCGUUAGAGGGCUCAGAGCAAAGCGGAGUGGAUCAGCUGACAGGCAGGAGCUGGUUGGGAUGGAGGACUAAUGGUACAAAAACACCAUGAGAACAAAAUGUGGUGUAAAGCUCUUAUUACAUCUCUGUCUUUCCGAUAGAACAAGGUUAAGGAGGGAGAAGGCAAAGUUCUUAUUGCAAAUCCAUUAAUAUGAGGCUAAAAUACAGCUUCUACUCUAUCUCCUGGGGUGACAUGUACAGAGGUUCACACAGCCGUUUCAACCGCACACUGUCAUAUUCAUAAAUGAGAAAUCAGAUAUGUUUAGGCAAUCAUGCAUGCAAUCAGCAGGUUGCAUCUCCCUGACUUUUCCUCUGGCACACCUCUGGAACCUGAAAAUAAAGGUGAAUCCUGUGCCCCAUCUGAUCUUUUAGUUUGAUCUUAAUUCGGGCCCUCCCUCCUGGAAGCCAGUCUUUCCACACUCAUCUGCCCACCUCUUCCGUGAUCCCUAUCUCUGAACCCGACAAAAUUAAUUACUGUAUGUUUUUAUUUCAUGAACGUGUCAGGCUGAAAUGAUGAAUGGCUUGUAAUAUCAGAGGAUUAAAGGCACAAAGCGAUGAGAGACACGCGUGCUUUACACCGCCGUAGUGCUUACAUGUAAGCACAUGAACCCGCACACGGUCUCCGGGGCCGCCGAUAUCUGGUUUCAUAUUUGAUAUUAACUUACUGGGAGGGAGGAGGAGGGGUGGGGUGGGGGGGUCCAGCCACAAUGUCAUUACACAGUGGUGCAGGGGCAUAAUAGAAGUGAACUUUUCAAAAAGGUCUUUAUAAUUGCAGAUGGAGCCUUGCUUGAUAAAGCUCCAUAUUGAUACGUGUGCCGGUGGCCUCAUUACAACAACAGAUGAAAAAGAGCAUUUCAGCAUUCUUUAAUGAGCGCUGGACCGGUGAAGGUCAUCUUAAUGGGGUUCAACUUGCUGUUGGGAGCCAGAGGUAAUAUUCUAAUGAGAAAGAGCCUCUACCCCACUCUAGUAAUUCUGUAAUUGCACCCUUAGAUGCCAUUUUAUUGUUGUCCGCGCUGUGGUAUUAAAAGUCCUUUGUUGUCAUUUGCAACAUUGCUUGUCCUCUUUUCUUGGGAUUGGUGAUCCAGCUCGAGCUGGACACACACACACACACACACACACACACACACACAUUACCAUA